rnacentral:misc_RNA from 1 species
GUGGGAGGGGGCUUGCUCCCGAUGGCGGUGAGUCAGUCAAUUGCGAUAUCGACUGAUUCACCCUCAUCGGGAGCAAGCCCCCUCCCAC